rnacentral:lncRNA from 1 species
GCAGGCCUUCCAUACAAACAAAACUGUAGGCUGGAGAUAGCGAGAGACUAAUAAAGCUCUAUGUAAUGGACAAAUUUCAGUUUAUCCUCAUGGCUUUCAGCUCAUUCUCAAAUAUUCUAGCUUGUCUUUCUUCUCUCUCACUUUAUUUCUUUUUUCCCUUUCUAGCUUUCGGAUCAUCAACUGACAUAGGGGAAGAAGACUUCCAUAGGAUGCUCAACCACCACCCAAGAUCAUGUAAAGCCAAGAUGUAGGCUAUGUCUGAUAUAAACAGUAAGUAAACAUGGUUUUGAAAUGGAAAUGGACUUAGAAGUAGAUCUGAUGCUAUAAGUACCUCUAAUCCUGACGCAAAUAUGCCAUUAGUGAAUUCUAUAAUAUAUGUAAGGUGGAAAUUUUUCUCAGCAGGGAAAAUAAAGUAAGAAUUUGAAAUAACGUGAUGUGAGCUGGUCUAAUUUUCCACUCUGUGUCACACGUUGAUGGCCCUUAUAAUUCAUACCUGGGGGAAAGUACAAGCAAAGCAGGAGGAGUCUGAAGCCAUAUAAGUCCUACUAUAUUAGUGAAAGUGCCGGUUAAAGAACACGUUAUAUUAUCAACAAGAAAUCAUAAGACCAUUAGUGCAUAUUUAAGCAGGAAAAUAAUUUGGUUUAAGAGGAUUAGAAAUCCCUAGUUUCUAGUUAAAAGUAAUUCAACCACAUAGCAAAUAAAC